UUCUACGAGAGAAGAAGAGAGGGAAAGCUCUAGACUCUGUUGCAAAUUUCCACUUGCAAAAUGGGGCAGUAAGUGCUAUUUUCAUAUUUGGAUCACUAAAGAAAUGCUAUAACGUGCAGAAUCGGUAGUUUAUUGCCGCCAGGAAGGAUUUGAUCUAUAUACACUACAAAAUAAACACCUUUUAGCAAUACUGCUACCUAGGAUGAGCUACUUGCGAUGGACUGAAGAGAUUCAUACACGUACACAACAACUAAAUGUUCACAAAGUUGAAAAUUACUUUGCUAAUCUGGUUCUUUCCUUUUACCUCCACUCUUGACAAAAAUGAAACAGAUGGUUGAAAGAAUAAAUUGGAUGGCCGAUCGAUCAGAGAAAGGCCUUGACCAAAGUGGAGGUAUCAUGGUGAACUAUAUCUACAGGUUGGAUUAUAUUGAAGAAUAUGCUCAGUCGUAUUUCAGCACUGGCCAUAUCCAUGCUUCAUCUGAUGUAAGAUGCUACAUUGAGCCACUAAGCGACAAUGAAGCAAAAACUGAUUGAUUGAAGAUGGAUUUCCCCUACUUGCCUUGUUUGUUUGUUAAUAAGUGAUAGAUGAACUUGACUUUCAGCAGGUAGUUUGGUCAGAAGGAAAAGUGGAAUGAUGAGAAAGAUGAAAGGAAAACGGGACCGGGUCACAUUUUUCUCUAUUACGUCAAUGGAGAAAAACAUUGGAGGUUGGAGGUUCAAAUCAUUCUAUCUCAUUACUUUCUCCUUGGCCGGAAGAUGCAGUAAUGUGAUUUCAUUUCCAAGGAAAAUGAAAAAACUGAUAAAAGGAAAUGUGUAUAAUGUACAAUGCCCCAUUGCUUUGCCUCUUUGUUCUUGUUUUUGUUUUUCAUAUUUUUAUUUUCUUCUCUCAUAAAAACAUUUAUAGUUUCCUUUUGAAAAAGUAAAUAGCAUUUUCCAAUACCAUUCAUUCAAUAAAAGAAAACCCAGAACACAUCCAACCAA